UGCGAUUACCCCAAAUGUGGGUAACUCGGUCGUAUAAUUUCUGGUAGUGGGGACUGCGUUCGCGCUAUCCCCGU
rnacentral:snRNA from 10 species